UGAAAAUUUAAAGUUCUAUUUGAAUUGAAAUGAAAAAGUGUGUCCUGUCUCUUAUGUAGUGGUAUGGCUAUAUCAGCAUAAGUAGGCACCUUAUCCAAAAAAAAAAAACCCCAUCUGGCCACUACCUCUCACAAACUGAGCCAGCUUUUAUGGAUCUUGUCCAUAGAGUCCCAUGAGGACAAGAGCAAUGACUUGCCCCUGUCUCCACCCUCUGACCGUUGCGGGGUUAUGGGGAGAGCAGACACUCAGUUGAAGUUUAGUGAAAGUGUAUGUGAAUUAAAUAAGGGACUUCUGGAAAGGGAGAACUCAAUGUCCUGAAAGAAGUACUUAACCUUCUGGCAUGAUUGUUUGUAGGGACAUUAAUUGCUUGCUAUUGAGAGUUUCCCAACAAUUUGUGUAGGGGAUCAGUCAGAAUGGUAGGAAAAACUGUAGAGAAAGUACACAAACCUUCUGAAAGGUUGGAAGGUUCUGCAGAGCCACAAGGGACAAUGGCUGAAGGCAGCUGUUCUAUAACCCUGAGGCAGAGGGCAAGGAGUAGGUACAAGGGAGUUUGGGGGAAUUUACCUUAAAUAAGCUUGUUUACUUAUGUUGACCAGGAACUGACCUUUGAUUAUCUGCAUGACGUUCCCUGAAAGGAGAACAAUAAAUGUUAAUUACCCACAGGUUGUGUUUGCUCCAGGUUAUCGGCAUUGUGCCUGCACUGAAUAAAAACAAGCAGCUCCAACUUCUCAGGGCUGCUCUCUGGCCACUAGAGCCAGGCAGUCACCUAGCUGCUGUUAUGCUGCAUACCUGUCUCUGAGUACUCGCUUCAUCCAUCGGCCAGGGUCUGUGGGACAGACCAGGCAGGUGGUGCCCCAUGUGAGGAACGCUGCAAUGGAUUGCAAGGGAACCCCUGAAAACAAAUGUGAAGUGACUGAGCAGUGUUAACCUUAGAAGACUAGAACCUAAUGAGUUAUGGCAAACAGAUGUUAUGCACGUCCCUGAAUUUGGAAAACUAAGGUCCUCUUUGGAUUCCAGCACGAGGCAUCAAACCAUACCAUGGCAUGGCUAGGACCCAACCCGGUACCAAAAUGAAGAAAAUGACCCUACAGGACCCACAAUCCCGGAUGAUGUGGCUUCCUUGGAUGACACAGGCCCUGGACAUUACCUGGGGGAUGCUGAAGAAGACAACUCAGGAGGCCAAGCAAAUCCUGCUCCAGGCACAGACACCAUUCACUCCAGGAAGCUGCCAUUCAUUCGACAUAAGUAGGUGCUUCAUCUGAUAAGCGCUGCUUGUGUAAUUUAUCAAUGACAGAGAAGGCAGAUAGCAGCAUGCAUACUUGGGGCUGCAUUUGAAGGAGAGCAACAUCCCUUUGUUUUCACAGAGGAGAACAAGCAUGAGUUGAGAUUGUGGUGCUUCUUGAAGUCUCAUCCAGAUCAGAAACCUGCUGCUCUGUCCACAUUCCAUCCACCAAAGCAACCCAUAUGGCCAUGUCCAGCAUCAGAUGGGGAAAGGCAGUUCUCCUCUAGCACGAGGAGCUGCAAAGCCACAUGGCAAAGGAUGAGUGUGUAAAAAAUAAAUGCAGGAGGGCAGGAGGCAUUGGGAACAAUGAUCCAAUCUACUGCAGUGUGUUAUUCUCUCCAGCUUGGCAUGCGUUCCGUUCCCUGUGUACAGCAUCCUGCAGUGACAGGAGCUCACGCUGGUCCUUUAAUAUGGGCCAGAUACUGUGCUAAGCACAGCACAUGGUUUAUCUUGGUGUAGCCUCACAGCAACAUUGGAGCAAAGCACAGUGUAUAGCACCAUUUAUUCAUGAGAAGUUAGAGCUUCAUAGCAUUUAAAGCAAAUUCCCAGAUUGCACAGUGUUAGUCAGUGAAAAAGCUGAAAAUUGGACCCGACUAUCUUCUGACUCCAGAGUCAUACAUGUCUUUCUCUCCUAAAGUAUCCUUACCUAGGGUAAUGUACAUCCUAGAGUCUUGUGCACCUGUCUUCUUGCCCAUUUUGACAAGCAUUUUAUACAGAUACCUUCUGUACCAAACCUUGUUCCAGGUGACAGGGGCAAUAGUAAAUAUGGGAUAUAAGAUCCCUGCACACAAG
rnacentral:lncRNA from 1 species